GUUAGGAAUCUUCCACAAUGGGGGCAACCCUGAUGGAGCAACACCGCGUGCUGGAUGAAGGCCUUCGGGUCGUAAACAGCUUUUGUAUACGAAGAAUAUGACGGUAAUAUACGAAUAAGGGUCGGCUAACUACGUGCCAGCAGCCGCGGUCAUACGUAGGACCCAAGCGUUAUCCGGAGUGACUGGGCGUAAAGAGUUGCGUAGGCGGCUUAUUAAGCGCGUAGUGAAAUCUGGUGGCUCAACCAUCAACACAUUGCUCGAACGUAUAGGCUUGAGAAUGGUAGAGGUAGUUGGAAUUUCUUGUGGAGGAGUGAAAUCCGUAGAUAUAAGAAGGAACACCAAUGGCGUAGGCAGACUACUGGACCAUUUCUGACGCUGAGGCACGAAAGCGUGGGGAGCGAACCGGAUUAGAUACCCGUGUAGUCC
rnacentral:rRNA from 1 species